CGUGGGGAACCUGCCCCAUAGUCUGGGAUACCACUUGGAAACAGGUGCUAAUACCGGAUAAGAAAGCAGAUCGCAUGAUCAGCUUUUAAAAGGCGGCGUAAGCUGUCGCUAUGGGAUGGCCCCGCGGUGCAUUAGCUAGUUGGUAAGGUAAAGGCUUACCAAGGCGAUGAUGCAUAGCCGAGUUGAGAGACUGAUCGGCCACAUUGGGACUGAGACACGGCCCAAACUCCUACGGGAGGCAGCAGGG
rnacentral:rRNA from 1 species